rnacentral:rRNA from 1 species
UACAGAGGGAGCAAGCGUUGUUCGGAAUUACUGGGCGUAAAGGGCGCGUAGGCGGUUCACUAAGUCCCGUGUGAAAUCCCUCGGCUCAACUGAGGAAUGGCACGGAAAACUGGUGGACUUGAGUUUGGGAGAGGGAAGCGGAAUUCCGGGUGUAGCGGUGAAAUGCGUAGAUAUCCGGAGGAACACCGGUGGCGAAGGCGGCUUCCUGGACCAAAACUGACGCUGAGGCGCGAAAGCUAGGGGAGCAAACGGG